rnacentral:rRNA from 1 species
UACAGAGGUGGCAAGCGUUGCUCGGUAUCACUGGGCUUAAAGGGCGCGUAGGCGGUGCGGUACGGUUUCGGGUGAAAUCCCUCGGCCCAACCGAGGAACAGCCGGAGCUACGGCCGCACUAGACGGCAUCAGGGGACAGUGGAACUCCCGGUGGAGCGGUGAAAUGCGUAGAUAUCAGGAGGAACACCGGUGGCGAAGGCGGUCUCUGGGCAUUACCUGACGCUGAGGAGCGAAAGCGUGGGGAGCGAACAGG